CCCUCGAUAGCUCAGUUGGCAGAGCGGAGGACUGUAGAUUUUACAACGUGAUCCUUAGGUCGCUGGUUCAAAUCCGGCUCGAGGGA
rnacentral:tRNA from 1 species